AUUGAACGCUGGCGGCAGGCUUAACACAUGCAAGUCGAGCGGGGUGAUGGUGCUUGCACUAUCACUUAGCGGCGGACGGGUGAGUAAUGCUUAGGAAUCUGCCUAUUAGUGGGGGACAACAUCUCGAAAGGGAUGCUAAUACCUCAUACGUCCUACGGGUGAAAGCAGGGGAUCACUUGUGACCUUGCGCUAAUAGAUGAGUCUAAGUCGGAUUAGCUAGUUGGGGGGGUAAAGGCCUACCAAGGCGACGAUCUGUAGCGGGUCUGAGAGGAUGAACCGCCACACUGGGACUGAGACACGGCCCAGAGUCCUACGGGAGGCAGCAGUGGGGAAUAUUGGACAAUGGGGGGAACCCUGAUCCAGCCAUGCCGCGUGUGUGAAGAAGGCCUUAUGGUUGUAAAGCACUUUAAGCGAGGAGGAGGCUCUUUUGGUUAAUACCCAAGAUGAGUGGACGUUACUCGCAGAAUAAGCACCGGCUAACUCUGUGCCAGCAGCCGCCGUAA
rnacentral:rRNA from 1 species